UCCAAUCUCUGUUUACAAUUCAUUCAUGACUUGGCUGUGUGUGUCUGAGGGGAGGGCUGUCUCGAGCUGGCAGCGGGGUUGCUUCAUGGGCUUUCGGGCUGAAGGCGCUGGACAGCUGGAGUGGCCUCUGCAAUCUGCUGGUAUUUGUUUAAUCCAAACAUUAGCCCUGUUCUCUCGGCCAGUUAUUGCUCCACAGUGAUGUUUCUGCAAUCAGAGGUCUCACUGAGCCGAUCGUCCUCUCGCUGAGCCGAUCGUCGUCUCUCACCGCCCCCGUUGUUGUUGGCACCACCGCGCGUUGUCCUCUAAUGCUCAAGGCAAUCCAUAGAAUAUCAAAUACACCAGAGCAGACAGGCUGGGUAGUGGCAUGGCGGCAGUGGCUAUGGGUGACUGCACCGCACACACUCAGAGACCAGGUCAGUGGACACAGGGCCCCUGGGACAGGAGGCCAGAGAGGAGAGGAGUUAAUGGUGUCCUCUCCUUGUGAAACCGCUUUGCUGUUUACCAUCACAGGGCUGGAGCACUGCUCGUCUAUUAGACACUUGACGGGACACGGGACUAUUUUACGUGGACGUUUUUUUU
rnacentral:lncRNA from 1 species